ACUAAAAUAAUUUAAGUAAAAUAUCAAUUUGUGGGAUUGAAAACGUAGAAAGGCUACUUUUAGUA
rnacentral:tRNA from 1 species